rnacentral:rRNA from 1 species
GACGAACGCUGGCGGCGUGCUUAACACAUGCAAGUCGAACGGAAAGGCCCUGCUUUUGUGGGGUGCUCGAGUGGCGAACGGGUGAGUAACACGUGAGUAACCUGCCCUUGACUUUGGGAUAACUUCAGGAAACUGGGGCUCAUACCGGAUAGGAGCUCCUGCUGCAUGGUGGGCGUUGGAAAGUUUCGGCGGUUGGGGAUGGACUCGCGGCGUAUCCGCUGGUUGGUGGGGUAGUGGCUUACCAAGGCUUUGACGGGUAGCCGGCCUGGGAGGGUAACCGGCGACAUUGGGACUGAGAUAAGGCCCAGACUCCAACGGUAGGCAAAGGUGGGGAAUGUUACACAAGAGGCGGGAGCCUGAUGCGGCAACGCCGCGUGCGGGAAGCCGUCCUUCGGGUUGUGAACCACUUUCGCCUGUGACGAGGCGUGAGUGACGGUAAUGGGUAAAGAAGCACCGGCUAACUACGUG